AAUACAUUGAGUGUUCAGCCUUAAGUAAAACAUCUGUAUCACCUGCUCCAAGACUUUGGAACAUUGCAGAAGAAGAGAGAGAAAUGAUGUAAGAGCCAGAGGACAGGACAGACUUGUGUGAAACACUGUCUUCUGAACGUGAAAGAGGAACUUCUCGUUCAAACCACCACAACCCAGGCCUUCCUCUCUGAUGCUGCAGUGAAUCUUCUAAGUCAGCCCAGGACUUACAGUGCCUCCACAUGAUAAGCAUGCUAAAGGCUCUGGUCUCUUCUCCCAGGCACCUGGAAUCAUGACUGUCUGUAGCAUGAACUCUUUUCCCUCCCCUUGUACUUACUUCAAACAAACAAACAGAAAACUAUGUCUGUCUUGGGAAGUGUUCUUGAUUCCCAACUCCUGUUCUACUUAUUGGAUUACAGUUCAUCUAUCAAGAAUCAACCCCAAGGGCAAAGGACACCAGAACAGCCCUACCCUGGACUUCCUGCUGCGUGCAUUGGCAUUGUCUACCAAGGAGGUUGCACCUGCCAUUCAGUGAGCUCGUGGA
rnacentral:lncRNA from 1 species